GAUGAACGCUGGCGGCGUGCCUAAUACAUGCAAGUCGAGCGAACGGACGAGAAGCUUGCUUCUCUGAUGUUAGCGGCGGACGGGUGAGUAACACGUGGAUAACCUACCUAUAAGACUGGGAUAACUUCGGGAAACCGGAGCUAAUACCGGAUAAUAUUUUGAACCGCAUGGUUCAAAAGUGAAAGACGGUCUUGCUGUCACUUAUAGAUGGAUCCGCGCUGCAUUAGCUAGUUGGUAAGGUAACGGCUUACCAAGGCAACGAUGCAUAGCCGACCUGAGAGGGUGAUAGGCCACACUGGAACGGAGACACGGUCAAGACUCCUACGGGAGGCAGCAGUAGGGAAUCUUCCGCAAUGGGCGAAAGCCUGACGGAGCAACGCCACGCGAGUGAUGAAGAUCUUCGGAUCGUAAAACUCUGUUAUGAGGGAAGAACAUAUGUGUAAGGAACUGUGCACAUCUUGACGGUACCUAAUCAGAAAGCCACGGCUAACUACGUG
rnacentral:rRNA from 1 species